AUCUAAGUACCCCGAGGAAAAGAAAUCAACCGAGAUUCCCCCAGUAGCGGCGAGCGAACGGGGAGGAGCCCAGAGCCUGAAUCAGCAUGUGUGUUAGUGGAAGCGUCUGGAAAGGCGCGCGAUACAGGGUGACAGCCCCGUACACAAAAGCGCAUGUGUUGUGAGCUCGAUGAGUAGGGCGGGACACGUGGUAUCCUGUCUGAAUAUGGGGGGACCAUCCUCCAAGGCUAAAUACUCCUGACUGACCGAUAGUGAACCAGUACCGUGAGGGAAAGGCGAAAAGAACCCCGGCGAGGGGAGUGAAAAAGAACCUGAAACCGUGUACGUACAAGCAGUGGGAGCACCCUUUGGGGUGUGACUGCGUACCUUUUGUAUAAUGGGUCAGCGACUUAUAUUCUGUAGCAAGGUUAACCGAAUAGGGGAGCCGGAGGGAAACCGAGUCUUAAU
rnacentral:rRNA from 1 species